rnacentral:rRNA from 1 species
ACAUGCAAGUCGAACGAUGAAGCCCAGCUUGCUGGGUGGAUUAGUGGCGAACGGGUGAGUAACACGUGAGUAACCUGCCCUUAACUCUGGGAUAAGCCUGGGAAACUGGGUCUAAUACCGGAUAGGAGCGUCCACCGCAUGGUGGGUGUUGGAAAGAUUUAUCGGUUUUGGAUGGACUCGCGGCCUAUCAGCUUGUUGGUGAGGUAAUGGCUCACCAAGGCGACGACGGGUAGCCGGCCUGAGAGGGUGACCGGCCACACUGGGACUGAGACACGGCCCAGACUCCUACGGGAGGCAGCAGUGGGGAAUAUUGCACAAUGGGCGAAAGCCUGAUGCAGCGACGCCGCGUGAGGGAUGACGGCCUUCGGGUUGUAAACCUCUUUCAGUAGGGAAGAAGCGAAAGUGACGGUACCUACAGAAGAAGCACCGGCUAACUACGUGCCAGCAGCCGCGGUAAUACGUAGGGUGCGAGCGUUAUCCGGAAUUAUUGGGCGUAAAGAGCUCGUAGGCGGUUUGUCGCGUCUGUCGUGAAAGUCCGGGGCUUAACCCCGGAUCUGCGGUGGGUACGGGCAGACUAGAGUGCAGUAGGGGAGACUGGAAUUCCUGGUGUAGCGGUGGAAUGCGCAGAUAUCAGGAGGAACACCGAUGGCGAAGGCAGGUCUCUGGGCUGUAACUGACGCUGAGGAGCGAAAGCAUGGGGAGCGAACAGGAUUAGAUACCCUGGUAGUCCAUGCCGUAAACGUUGGGCACUAGGUGUGGGGACCAUUCCACGGUUUCCGCGCCGCAGCUAACGCAUUAAGUGCCCCGCCUGGGGAGUACGGCCGCAAGGCUAAA